rnacentral:rRNA from 1 species
CUGACCUGCCCAGUGAUUAAUUUAACGGCCGCGGUAUACUGACCGUGCAAAGGUAGCAUAAUCAUUAGUCUUUUAAUAGAGGGCUGGAAUGAAAGGUUUAACGAGGAAUUGACUGUCUCAUUUUAUUUGUUUUAAAAUUUAAUUUUUUAGUUAAAAAGCUAAAAUUUUAUUGGAAGACGAGAAGACCCUAUAGAUCUUUAUAGAAUUAUAAUUAUUUAUCAUUAUAUAAAUACAAUUAAUUAUUUUUCUAUUUUGUUGGGGUGACAAAAAUAUAAAAUAAACUUUUUUAUCUAUUUGACAUUGAUUUAUGAAUAUAUGAUCCAUUAUUAGUGAUUAUUAGAUUAAGUUACCUUAGGGAUAACAGCGUAAUCCUCCUCCAGAGUUCAUAUUUACAGGAUGGGCUUGCGACCUCGAUGUUGGAUUAAGAUAAUAAUCAGGUGUAGCCGCUUGAUUUAUAGGUCUGUUCGACCUUUAA